UACGUAGGGUGCAAGCGUUAAUCGGAAUUACUGGGCGUAAAGCGUGCGCAGGCGGUUAUGCAAGACAGGUGUGAAAUCCCCGAGCUCAACUUAGGGUAACGUAGCACUUGUUGACUGCAUAGCUAGAGUACGGUAGAGGGAGUGAAUUCCGCGUGUAGCAGUGAAAUAGCGUAGAUAUGCGGAGGAACACCGAUGGCGAAGGCAGCU
rnacentral:rRNA from 1 species